rnacentral:rRNA from 1 species
GACGAACGCUGGCGGCGUGCUUAACACAUGCAAGUCGAACGGAAAGGCCCUUCGGGGUACUCGAGUGGCGAACGGGUGAGUAACACGUGGGUGAUCUGCCCUGCACUUUGGGAUAAGCCUGGGAAACUGGGUCUAAUACCGAAUAGGACCACGCGCUUCAUGGUGUGGGGUGGAAAGCUUUUGCGGUGUGGGAUGGGCCCGCGGCCUAUCAGCUUGUUGGUGGGGUAAUGGCCUACCAAGGCGACGACGGGUAGCCGGCCUGAGAGGGUGACCGGCCAGACUGGGACUGAGAUACGGCCCAGACUGCUAAGGGAGGCAGCAGUGGGGAAUAUGGCACAAUGGGCGCAAGCCUGAUGCAGCGACGCCGCGUGAGGGAUGACGGCCUUCGGGUUGUAAACCUCUUUCAAUAGGGACGAAGCGCAAGUGACGGUACCUAUAGAAGAAGCACCGGCCAACUACGUGCCAGCAGCCGCCGCGG